rnacentral:rRNA from 1 species
UACGGAGGGAGCUAGCGUUGUUCGGAUAUACUGGGCGUAAAGCGCACGUAGGCGGCGCAGCAAGUCAGGGGUGAAAUCCCGGAGCUCAACUCCGGAACUGCCUUUGAAACUGCAGUGCUAGAAUCCUGGAGAGGCGAGUGGAAUUCCGAGUGUAGAGGGUGAAAUUCGUAGAUAUUCGGAAGAACACCAGUGGCGAAGGCGACUCGCUGGACAGGUAUUGACGCUGAGGUGCGAAAGCGUGGGGAGCAAACAGG